UCUCGCCUUUAGAUUGGCCCAAGUGGGAUUAGCUAGUUGGUGAGGUAAUGGCUCACCAAGGCGACGAUCCCUAGCUGGUUUGAGAGGAUGAUCAGCCACACUGGGACUGAGACACGGCCCAGAUUCUUACGGGAGGCAGCAGUGGGGAAUAUUGCACAAUGGGCGCAAGCCUGAUGCAGCCAUGCCGCGUGUGUGAAGAAGGCCUUCGGGUUGUAAAGCACUUUCAGUCAGGAGGAAAGGUUAGUAGUUAAUACCUGCUAGCUGUGACGUUAUUGACAGAAGAAGCACCGGCUAACUCCGUGCCAGCAGCCGCGGUAAUACGGAGGGUGCGAGCGUUAAUCGGAAUUACUGGGCGUAAAGCGUACGCAGGCGGUUUGUUAAGCGAGAUGUGAAAGCCCCGGGCUCAACCUGGGAACUGCAUUUCGAACUGGCAAACUAGAGUGUGAUAGAGGGUGGUAGAAUUUCAGGUGUAGCGGUGAAAUGCGUAGAGAUCUGAAGGAAUACCGAUGGCGAAGGCAGCCACCUGGGUCAACACUGACGCUCAUGUACGAAAGCGUGGGGAGCAAACGGGAUUAGAUACCCCGGUAGUCCACGCCGUAAACGAUGUAUACUAGAAGCUCGGACCCUCGGUUCUGUUUUUCAAAGCUAACGCAUUAAGUAGACCGCCU
rnacentral:rRNA from 1 species